rnacentral:rRNA from 1 species
UACGUAGGGGGCUAGCGUUGUCCGGAUUUAUUGGGCGUAAAGAGCGUGUAGGCGGCCAGGUAGGUCUGCUGUGAAAACUCGAGGCUCAACCUCGAGACGUCGGCGGAAACCAUCUGGCUAGAGUCCGGAAGAGGAGAGUGGAAUUCUCGGUGUAGCGGUGAAAUGCGUAGAUAUCGAGAGGAACACCUGCGGCGAAGGCGGGUUGCUGGGCCGACACUGACGCUGAGGCGCGAAAGCUAGGGGAGCGAACGGG